rnacentral:rRNA from 1 species
UACAGGGGGGGCGAGCGUUGUUCGGAAUUACUGGGCGUAAAGGGCGCGUAGGCGGCCGAUCAAGUCAGAUGUGAAAGUCCUGGGCUUAACCUGGGGACUGCAUUUGAUACUGGUUGGCUUGAAUGCAGGAGAGGAUAGCGGAAUUCCCAGUGUAGAGGUGAAAUUCGUAGAUAUUGGGAAGAACACCGGUGGCGAAGGCGGCUAUCUGGACUGUGAUUGACGCUGAGGCGCGAAAGCGUGGGGAGCAAACAGG